GCUUCCAUGGCUCAGCUGGUUAGAGCGCAAGUCUCAUAUUUCGAAUAUGAGUAAGCACUGCUUACGCAAUCUUGAGGUCGUGAGUUCGAACCUCACUGGGAGCA